rnacentral:rRNA from 1 species
AGGGCGCAUGGCGGAUGCCUUGGCUCUCGGAGGCGAUGAAGGACGUGAUAAGCUGCGAUAAGCUUUGGGGAGGUGCAAAUGACCUUUGAUCCAGAGAUUUCCGAAUGGGACAACCCAAUAUCUUGAAGAGGUAUUAUCCAACGUUGUUGGAGGCUAACGCAGGGAACUGAAACAUCUUAGUACCUGCAGGAAAAGAAAAUAAACAAUGAUUCCCCCAGUAGUGGCGAGCGAACGGGGAACAGCCCAAACCAUCCAUGUUACGGCAUGGGUGGGGUUGUAGGACUACGCCGUUGCAUGAAGACAUCAGAGAAGAACUUUCUGGAAAGAAAGACCAUAGAGCAUGACAGUUGCGUAUUCGAAUGUUGUCGAAGCAUAGUAGUAUCCUGAGUAGCGCGGAGCACGAGGAAUUCUGCGUGAAUCUGCCGGGACCAUCCGGUAAGGCUAAAUACUCCCGAGAGACCGAUAGCGAACCAGUACCGUGAGGGAAAGGUGAAAAGCACUUCGAACAGAAGAGUGAAAUAGUUCCUGAAACCGUGCGCCUACAAGCGGUCGGAGCUCGUUAAUGAGUGACGGCGUGCCUUUUGCAUAAUGAACCUACGAGUUGCCUUUGCCGGCAAGGUUAAGUGUGACGACACACGUAUCCGAAGCGAAAGCGAGUCUGAACAGGGCGUAUAGUCGGCAGUGGCAGACGCGAAACCAAGUGAUCUACCCUUGGCCAGGUUGAAGGCUGGGUAACACCAGCUGGAGGACCGCACCAAUAAGCGUUGAAAAGCUUCUGGAUGAGCUGAGGGUAGGGGUGAAAGGCUAAUCAAACUUGGAGAUAGCUCGUACUCCCCGAAAUGCAUUUAGGUGCAGCCUUGCGGGUUACUGAUGUGAGGUAGAGCGACUGAUAAGAUGCGAGGGCUUCACCGCCUAUCAAGUCUUGACAAACUCCGAAUGCGCAUCAGUUCUACCGCAGGAGUGAGGGCAUGGGUGCUAAGGUCCGUGCCCGAGAGGAGAAGAAUCCGGACCACCUGCUAAGGUCCCGAAAUGACAGCUAAGUUAAACUAACGAAGUCUGACUGCUAAGACAGCUAGGAUGUUGGCUUGGAAGCAGCCAUUCAUUUAAAGAGUGCGUAACAGCUCACUAGUCGAGGAGUCGGGCGUGGAUAAUAAUCGGGUAUUAAGUUGUCUACCGAAGCAGUGGGAUCAUUAAUAUGAUCGGUAGGGGAGCAUUCCAGUCAGCGUCGAAGGCGUACCGUGAGGUAUUCUGGAGCGUCUGGAAAAGCAAAUGUAGGUAUAAGUAACGAUAAAGGGGGCGGGAAACCCCCUCGCCGAAAGACUAAGGUUUCCUGAUCAACGCUAAUCGGAUCAGGGUCAGUCGGGUCCUAAGGCUCAGCCGAACGGCGAUGCCGAUGGCAGAAACGGUUAAUAUUCCGUUACUACCUUCAGGAGUGACGUGGAGACGCAGUAGUGACAGUGCCGCCAUCUGACGGAAUAGAUGGUUGAAGGGUGUAGGAGUCGAUCAUGGCAGGCAAAUCCACCAUGAGAUCCGAACCUGAUAGUAUGCCGCGUCCUUCGGGACAAGGCAAUAGUGCGCGUAAGCAUGCUGCCGAGAAAAUCCGCUAAACUUAAUCCUGCAGGUACCCGUACCGCAAACGGACACACGUAGUCGGGAUGAAUAUUCUAAGGCGCUUGAGUGAUUCACGGUUAAGGAACUAGGCAAACUGACCCUGUAACUUCGGGAUAAAGGGUCCCUACCCUUUUAUGGGAGGGCGCAGAGAAUCGGUCCAGGCAACUGUUUAACAAAAACACAGGGCUGUGCGAAGUCGAAAGACGCUGUAUACAGCCUGACACCUGCCCGGUGCUGGAAGGUUAAGAGGAGAUGUCAUCGCAAGAGAAGCAUUGAAUUGAAGCCCCAGUAAACGGCGGCCGUAACUAUAACGGUCCUAAGGUAGCGAAAUUCCUUGUCGGGUAAGUUCCGACCUGCACGAAUGGUGUAAUGAUCUGGACGCUGUCUCAACCGUGAGCUCAGUGAAAUUGUAGUAUCGGUGAAGAUGCCGAUUACCCGCGAUGGGACGAAAAGACCCCGUGAACCUUUACUAUAGCUUAUCAUUGAAUCUGGGCACGUGAUGUGUAGGAUAGGUCGGAGGCUUUGAAGCAGGUACGCCAGUAUUUGUGGAGCCGCUGUUGAAAUACGACCCUUUAUUUGUUUGGAUUCUAACCCGUGGAACGGGGACAUUGAUUGGUGGGUAGUUUGACUGGGGUGGUCGCCUCCAAAAGCGUAACGGAGGCUUCUAAAGGUGCCCUCCGGCCGAUUGGUAACCGGCCUUAGAGUGUAAUGGCAUAAGGGCGCUUGACUGGGAGACUGACAAGUCGAUCAGGUAGGAAACUAGAGCAUAGUGAUCCGGUGUUUCCGUAUGGAAGGGACAUCGCUCAAAGGAUAAAAGGUACUCCGGGGAUAACAGGCUGAUCCCUCCCAAGA